UAACCCAUCAAGUAUAUUUUCCAUCCAUACUUUAAAUGUAAGGAGGAUGCAUCCUUGUUGUAUAUUGGAUAUGUCAGAUAUUCUUUGGUGCUCCAUCCAGAUAAGUUUUCAUAUGCAGAAAAAUUAUUUAUGGUUCAUAAAAUCAAAGCAUGUAACUUAAAAUUCUUUCAACUCACAGAAUCAUAUGACUGUACUCUAUUUUUUCGUAGCUCCUUU
rnacentral:lncRNA from 1 species